rnacentral:rRNA from 1 species
AACGAACGCUGGCGGCAUGCCUAACACAUGCAAGUCGAACGAGACCUUCGGGUCUAGUGGCGCACGGGUGCGUAACGCGUGGGAACCUGCCCUUAGGUUCGGAAUAACUCCCCGAAAGGGGUGCUAAUACCGGAUAAUGUCUUCGGACCAAAGAUUUAUCGCCUUUGGAUGGGCCCGCGUUGGAUUAGCUAGUUGGUAGGGUAAAAGCCUACCAAGGCGACGAUCCAUAGCUGGUCUGAGAGGAUGGUCAGCCACACUGGGACUGAGACACGGCCCAGACUCCUACGGGAGGCAGCAGUGGGGAAUAUUGGACAAUGGGCGAAAGCCUGAUCCAGCAAUGCCGCGUGAGUGAUGAAGGCCUUAGGGUUGUAAAGCUCUUUUACCCGGGAUGAUAAUGACAGUACCGGGAGAAUAAGCACCGGCUAACUCCGUG